GCUUGCCCAACAGGCAGAGACAUCGUUUCAUCUGAUGGAUCAUGUUUAACCCGCGGCAGUCUGACGUCGAGUACCGUUCCGCGCGCAACACGUUCUAAUUGCCGACCACAGUAAAAAUAUCAAGUCUUUUCGAAAUUCUCGAAAUAACAAGUCUCGCAGAAAAUUACAUCAACAAAUAAAAAAUAAUUAUGUUAAUAAAAAGUGAUUAUAAAAAAUUCAGACAACUGUUAAAGUGCCUACAACAAGAUUAAACUACUCGUGAGAAAUGCGUAAUAGCAAGUGAAAUGCAUCGUAGAAUUUACAGAUUCCCAUUACUGAUAGAAUAUAUCGGGACCCACCCGGCCAAAGUAUCGAUUUUGUCUUCCGGUUUCUUUGUACAACCCACGACUUUAUGUUACGCAUGAUAUAUGACUUCUCCAAUCCCCGGGGUAUUGUGGUUACCAAGACAACCACCGCAGCACUGGUUAGCAACCGCACAGUCACUUUGACAACGACUUCUAGAGUCGACCCUCCACCAGCUACUAGGAAGUUAUAAACGCCGAGAAAGUCUCUCUCGACGUGAUGGCUACGAAGGAAAAGGAGGAUAAUGCACGCGAGUUUGCGGGUCAUUCGCAUUCGGUCGAGUCGGGUGCUACAGCACGGAGCAGCGUGGAAACGUACCAAUGAACUCCACGCGAAUAGGUUGUCAGGAAUAUGAAAGAGUCUUACGUCUAUCUCCGUAAGCGAACUGUCUCCUACACGAUGAUAGUGCGGUAGUCAUUCGAAUUCGUUUGUCUGCGAAUUUGUGUUAAGUAGACGGCCACACAUAAUGCAGUUAAUUCAUUCGUCGCUUAUUCAAACUGUCUCUAUCAUUCGUUCAAGCGUUGCCUCUUGGUGUCAUCUUGGCGUGGAAGUAGUCCAGCUUCGAGGAAAUAAAAGAGAAGAAACAUACGACAAUUAUCAAAAUAAUCGGAAUAAAUUACAAUUAAUCAGAGCAAACCUUUCCUGGGAUUUCCGAUUUGGUCUAAUGACCCUUUCGCUCUCUAUUUAUAACGCGGUUCUGAUCCACCGCAGCCGAGGUAGAAGAGAGAUGGAAGGAACGGGACGGAACGGGUUGACCGCAGAUUCGCAGGUGAGAGAUCCGCGAUUCGCGGCCCGCGGCGUGUUCGUACGCGCGCGGCUUGCGAGUGCGAGUGCGUGGAAGGAUAGUGGGGCGCAGUGAUGCGCGGAGCGGCCACUCCGCAGCGCUCCCCUUUCAAGAGGAGCACAUAAGAUGGUGGGAGGCAGGUCGACGAAAGUAGAAGCUGCGUUCGGACCACGAAUGGCGCGAACGGUACGAACUGCUCCUCGGCCAUGAUACUAUCCUAUGCCAGGGGGUCCCCAAGAACUGGCC